UACUUUUAAGAUUUUAUUUAUUUUAUUUUAUUCAUUUCUUUAAUCACUUUAACAGUUUAAAACCUUUAUAGAACACACCAAAGUUCUAUAAACACAAAAGAGAAAUGAGAUUAAUGUGAGUUUUUACUUUGUCUACAUGGAAGUUGACCACCCCAAAUUGAAGAAAUUCCUAUUGACAUGGUUUGGUAAUAAUGGAAUUCAAAACUUGG
rnacentral:lncRNA from 1 species